GAUCAUUGUCGAUACCUGCAA
rnacentral:rRNA from 1 species